rnacentral:rRNA from 1 species
GAUGAACGCUGGCGGCGUGCCUAAUACAUGCAAGUCGAACGAGUUCUCGUUGAUGAUCGGUGCUUGCACCGAGAUUCAACAUGGAACGAGUGGCGGACGGGUGAGUAACACGUGGGUAACCUGCCCUUAAGUGGGGGAUAACAUUUGGAAACAGAUGCUAAUACCGCAUAGAUCCAAGAACCGCAUGGUUCUUGGCUGAAAGAUGGCGUAAGCUAUCGCUUUUGGAUGGACCCGCGGCGUAUUAGCUAGUUGGUGAGGUAAUGGCUCACCAAGGCGAUGAUACGUAGCCGAACUGAGAGGUUGAUCGGCCACAUUGGGACUGAGACACGGCCCAAACUCCUACGGGAGGCAGCAGUAGGGAAUCUUCCACAAUGGACGCAAGUCUGAUGGAGCAACGCCGCGUGAGUGAAGAAGGCUUUCGGGUCGUAAAACUCUGUUGUUGGAGAAGAAUGGUCGGCAGAGUAACUGUUGUCGGCGUGACGGUAUCCAACCAGAAAGCCACGGCUAACUACGUGCCAGCAGCCGCGGUAAUACGUAGGUGGCAAGCGUUAUCCGGAUUUAUUGGGCGUAAAGCGAGCGCAGGCGGUUUUUUAAGUCUGAUGUGAAAGCCCUCGGCUUAACCGAGGAAGCGCAUCGGAAACUGGGAAACUUGAGUGCAGAAGAAGACAGUGGAACUCCAUGUGUAGCGGUGAAAUGCGUAGAUAUAUGGAAGAACGCCAGUGGCGAAGGCGGCUGUCUGGUCUGUAACUGACGCUGAGGCUCGAAAGCAUGGGUAGCGAACAGGAUUAGAUACCCUGGUAGUCCAUGCCGUAAACGAUGAAUGCUAGGUGUUGGAGGGUUUCCGCCCUUCAGUGCCGCAGCUAACGCAUUAAGCAUUCCGCCUGGGAAGUACGGCCGCAAGGUUGAAACUCAAAGGAAUUGACGGGGGCCCGCACAAGCGGUGGAGCAUGUGGUUUAAUUCGAAGCAACGCGAAGAACCUUACCAGGUCUUGACAUCUUUUGAUCACCUGAGAGAUCAGGUUUCCCCUUCGGGGGCAAAAUGACAGGUGGUGCAUGGUUGUCGUCAGCUCGUGUCGUGAGAUGUUGGGUUAAGUCCCGCAACGAGCGCAACCCUUAUGACUAGUUGCCAGCAUUUAGUUGGGCACUCUAGUAAGACUGCCGGUGACAAACCGGAGGAAGGUGGGGAUGACGUCAAAUCAUCAUGCCCCUUAUGACCUGGGCUACACACGUGCUACAAUGGAUGGUACAACGAGUUGCGAGACCGCGAGGUCAAGCUAAUCUCUUAAAGCCAUUCUCAGUUCGGACCGUAGGCUGCAACUCGCCUACACGAAGUCGGAAUCGCUAGUAAUCGCGGAUCAGCACGCCGCGGUGAAUACGUUCCCGGGCCUUGUACACACCGCCCGUCACACCAUGAGAGUUUGUAACACCCGAAGCCGGUGGCGUAACCCUUUUAGGGAGCGAGCCGUCUAAGGUGGGACAAAUGAUUAGGGUG